rnacentral:rRNA from 1 species
CCUACGGGUGGCAGCAGUGAGGAAUAUUGGUCAAUGGACGAGAGUCUGAACCAGCCAAGUAGCGUGAAGGAUGACUGCCCUAUGGGUUGUAAACUUCUUUUAUAUGGGAAUAAAAUGUUCCACGUGUGGGAUUUUGUAUGUACCAUAUGAAUAAGGAUCGGCUAACUCCGUGCCAGCAGCCGCGGUAAUACGGAGGAUCCGAGCGUUAUCCGGAUUUAUUGGGUUUAAAGGGAGCGUAGGUGGAAUGUUAAGUCAGUUGUGAAAGUUUGCGGCUCAACCGUAAAAUUGCAGUUGAAACUGGCAGUCGUGAGUACAGGAGAGGUGGGCGGAGUCCGGGGUGAAGCGGUGAAAGGCUUAGAUAUAACGAAGAA